rnacentral:rRNA from 1 species
ACGAACGCUGGCGGCAGGCCUAACACAUGCAAGUCGAGCGAGGACUUCGGUUCUAGCGGCGGACGGGUGAGUAACGCGUGGGAAUGUGCCCUUCUCUACUGAAUAGCCCUGGGAAACUGGGAGUAAUACCGUAUACGCCCUAUUGGGGAAAGAUUUAUCGGAGAAGGAUCAGCCCGCGGUGGAUUAGGUAGUUGGUGGGGUAAUGGCCUACCAAGCCGACGAUCCAUAGCUGGUUUGAGAGGCUGAUCAGCCACACUGGGACUGAGACACGGCCCAGACUCCUACGGGAGGCAGCAGUGGGGAAUCUUAGACAAUGGGGGCAAUCCUGAUCGAGCCAUGACGCGUGAGCGAUGAAGGCCUUAGGGUUGUAAAGCUCUUUCAGCUGGGAAGAUAAUGACGGUACCAGCAGAAGAAGCCCCGGCUAACUCCGUG